rnacentral:rRNA from 1 species
UACGGGGGGAGCAAGCGUUGUUCGGAUUUACUGGGCGUAAAGGGCGCGUAGGCGGUCAGCACAAGUCAGUUGUGAAAUCUCCGGGCUUAACUCGGAAAGGUCAACUGAUACUGUGCGACUAGAGUGCAGAAGGGGCAACUGGAAUUCUCGGUGUAGCGGUGAAAUGCGUAGAUAUCAGAAGGAACACCGGUGGCGAAGGCGGGACUCUGGGCCGAUACUGACGCUGAGGAGCGAAAGCGUGGGGAGCAAACAGG